UACGAAGGGGGCUAGCGUUGCUCGGAAUCACUGGGCGUAAAGCGCACGUAGGCGGAUUGUUAAGUCAGGGGUGAAAUCCUGGAGCUCAACUCCAGAACUGCCUUUGAUACUGGCGAUCUUGAGUCCGGGAGAGGUGAGUGGAACUGCGAGUGUAGAGGUGAAAUUCGUAGAUAUUCGCAAGAACACCAGUGGCGAAGGCGGACUCACUGGCCCGGUACUGACGCUGAGGUGCG
rnacentral:rRNA from 1 species